UAGCAAAUACUUUGGUGGCGACCGGCGCACGGGUGAGUAACGCGUAUGCAACCCACUUAUCAGAGGGGAAUAACCCGGCGAAAGUCGGACUAAUACCGCAUAAAACAGGGACACCGCAUGGUGAUAUUUGUUAAAGAAAUUCGCUGAUAGAUGGGCAUGCGUUCCAUUAGGUAGUUGGUGAGGUAACGGCUCACCAAGCCGACGAUGGAUAGGGGAACUGAGAGGUUGGUCCCCCACACUGGUACUGAGACACGGACCAGACUCCUACGGGAGGCAGCAGUGAGGAAUAUUGGUCAAUGGGCGAGAGCCUGAACCAGCCAAGUCGCGUGAAGGAAGAAGGAUCUAUGGUUCGUAAACUUCUUUUGCAGGGGAAUAAAGUGCAGGACGUGUCCUGUUUUGUAUGUACCCUGAGAAUAAGGAUCGGCUAACUCCGUGCCAGCAGCCGCGGUAAUACGGAGGAUCCGAGCGUUAUCCGGAUUUAUUGGGUUUAAAGGGUGCGUAGGUGGUUUGAUAAGUCAGCGGUGAAAGUUUGCAGCUUAACUGUAAAAAUGCCGUUGAAACUGUCGGACUUGAGUGUAAAUGAGGUAGGCGGAAUGCGUGGUGUAGCGGUGAAAUGCUUAGAUAUCACGAAGAACUCCGAUUG
rnacentral:rRNA from 1 species